UGGGGGACAAAGAGGGCGGGAGGCGGAUCUCUGCGCCUGUCCUUGACCCUGACGCGCGAAAGUGUGAGGAGCACUCUGGAUUGCAUACCCUGGUAGUCCACGCCGUAGACCAUGGGUGGUAGGUGUUACGCGUUUCUAUGCCCGUAGUGCCGAAAGAACACAUUAAGAACUCCGCCUGGGGAGUACGGCCGCAAGGCUGAAACUCAAAGGAAUUGACGGGGACCCGCACAAGCAGUGGAGCAUGUGGUUUAAUUCGAAGCAACGCGAAAAACCUUACCAGGUCUUGACAUCCUUUGACCACCCAAGAAAUUGGGCUUCCCCUUCGGGGGCAAGGGGACGGGGGGUGCUUGGUUGACGAGGCUCGUGUCGAGAAAUGUUGGGUUAGCUCCCGCAACGAGGACAACCCUUGAUCUUAUUUGCCGUUUUAAGUUGGGCACUCGAAGGUGACUGCCGGUGACUAGCCGGGGGAAGGUGGGGAUGACGUCAAAUCAUCAUGCCCCUUAUGACCUGGGCUACACACGUGCUACAGGGGGAUGGUACAAAGGGCAGCUGAAACCGCGAGGGUGAAGCCAAUCCCAUAAAGCCACUCUCAAGUCAGGAUUGCAGGUCUGCAACUCGCCUGCAUAAACUAGGAAUUGCUAGUAAUCGCGGAUCAGCAUGCCGCAAUGAAUACGUUCCCGGAGCUUGUACACAACCGCCCGUAGCACCACGGGAGUUUGUACGCCGAAAUGUGGUUAUGCUGCCUUUUGGAGCCAGCCGCCUAAGGGAGCAACAAAUGAUUAGAGAUGAAGCCUCGACCACGUCCCGCGAUUAAUGGCGUG
rnacentral:rRNA from 1 species